rnacentral:rRNA from 1 species
GAUGAACGCUGGCGGCGUGCUUAACACAUGCAAGUCGAACGAGAACCAUUGGAUCGAGGAUUCGUCCAAGUGAAGGUGGGGAAAGUGGCGGACGGGGGAGUAACGCGUGAGCAAUCUGCCUUGGAGUGGGGAAUAACGGCUGGAAACAGCCGCUAAUACCGCAUGAAGCAGCUGGGAGGCAUCUCCCUGGCUGCCAAAGAUUUAUCGCUCUGAGAUGAGCUCGCGUCUGAUUAGCUGGUUGGCGGGGUAACGGCCCACCAAGGCGACGAUCAGUAGCCGGACUGAGAGGUUGGCCGGCCACAUUGGGACUGAGACACGGCCCAG